ACGUGUGGGCUCAAAUUACCCGUAAACGACGCGAGACGACGUCGAGAUCGGUUCGAGAAGCAAGAAGCCGUGGGACAAAAGAAAAUGUGAAGGAAAGAAAAGGAGAGAAAAGAACUGGAGGGAAGGAAGAAGUGUUACAUUUCCAGUUUCACACUUUUCCUCUUCUUUUUCAAUUUUAUCCAAUUUUGUGUGUAAAGAGCCCUCU
ensembl:ncRNA Y73B6BL.272 ncRNA